GACGAACGCUGGCGGUGUGCCUAAUACAUGCAAGUAGAACGCACAGGAUGCACCGUAGUUUACUACACCGUAUUCUGUGAGUUGCGAACGGGUGAGUAACGCGUAGGUAACCUGCCUGGUAGCGGGGGAUAACUAUUGGAAACGAUAGCUAAUACCGCAUAAGAACAUUUACUGCAUGGUAGAUGUUUAAAAGGUGCAAGAGCAUCACUACCAGAUGGACCUGCGUUGUAUUAGCUAGUUGGUGAGGUAACGGCUCACCAAGGCAACGAUACAUAGCCGACCUGAGAGGGUGAUCGGCCACACUGGGACUGAGACACGGCCCAGACUCCUACGGGAGGCAGCAGUAGGGAAUCUUCGGCAAUGGACGAAAGUCUGACCGAGCAACGCCGCGUGAGUGAAGAAGGUUUUCGGAUCGUAAAGCUCUGUUGUAAGAGAAGAACGAGUGUGAGAGUGGAAAGUUCACACUGUGACG
rnacentral:rRNA from 1 species